GAGUUUUGAUCCUGGCUCAGGAUGAACGCUAGCGGCAGGCUUAACACAUGCAAGUCGAGGGGCAGCGGGGUGUAGCAAUACACUGCCGGCGACCGGCGCACGGGUGCGUAACGCGUAUGCAACCUACCCAUAACAGGGGCAUAACACUGAGAAAUUGGUACUAAUUCCCCAUAACAUUCGAAGAGGCAUCUCUUUGGGUUGAAAACUCCGGUGGUUAUGGAUGGGC
rnacentral:rRNA from 1 species